CCUACGGGCGGCAGCAGUAGGGAAUAUUGCUCAAUGGGGGAAACCCUGAAGCAGCAACGCCGCGUGGAGGAUGAAGGUUUUCGGAUUGUAAACUCCUUUUGUUAGAGAAGAUAAUGACGGUAUCUAACGAAUAAGCACCGGCUAACUCCGUGCCAGCAGCCGCGGUAAUACGGAGGGUGCAAGCGUUACUCGGAAUCACUGGGCGUAAAGAGCGCGUAGGCGGGAUAGCAAGUCAGAUGUGAAAUCCUAGGGCUUAACCAUAGAACUGCAUUUGAAACUGUUAUUCUAGAGUAUGGGAGAGGUAGGUGGAAUUCUUGGUGUAGGGUUAAAAUCCGUAGAGAUCAAGAGGAAUACUCAUUGCGAAGGCGACCUGCUAGAACAUAACUGACGCUGAUGCGCGAAAGCGUGGGGAGCAAACAGGAUUAGAUACCCGUGUAGUC
rnacentral:rRNA from 1 species